AUGCAUUUCGGGAAGAAAAAGUUUUUGGAAGUCUGUCUGGAAGUGUGUCUUUUAAAAUCAUAUAAUACUGCUAACCUAUUAGACAUCUAUUUAGCGUAUGAUUUAACAGAAAGCCAGUUAACAACAUCCUCUAACCAUGGAAUUUCUAGGACACACUCAGACAGCUUCCUAUAUGACAGGACCCCGCAUGGGGGGUAGCGGAAACCCAACAUUCCUGCCAUCUAUCAGCACAAUGCAGUCAUCAUACAAACCAUACGAUACAUACCCCGCUCCUUCCCCCCUCAGGCGCUCACUGACAACUAUGCCCUGGAGACCAAGCACCUAUUACCAGACCGCCAAAGUCAACCCCAGUUCUGCUGUUACAAAAAGUAUGCCCGAACCACUUUCAACCACUAACAGAUUGUCCGAGUUAGACAGUAUUAAAGUCCCCCCAGUAUUUGCUGCUGCCAGAAACGCCCUUUACACAAGGUACACUCCUAAUGAUUGGAUGCGAUCCAACUCUGCUAACUACCAAGCCUCAGACCGUGUCCGUAGUGGAGCUGAGAGGCUACGAUUUGAUACUGCUAGACUUUGUAGAGAAACUGAUGAAAAAACAAAGAGAGCACAAGCCGAUGUUGGCAAAAAAUUAGGAGAACGUAUCGGGGACAUUCAAUUCUGGAAAACAGAAGUUUGUAACGAAACAGACAAUAUGAUCACAGAAAUAAAUGCUCUAAAUGAAGCCAAGAGAAUAAUGGAAAAAUCACUAGCUGAAACAGAAAACCCACUUCACAUAGCUAAAGAGUGUUUAUACAACAGAGAAAAGCGUCAAGGGAUAGAUUUAGUCCACGACAAUGUAGAACAGGAAUUAAUCAGGGAAGUCGAUGUAAUUAAAAGAUGCCAAGAAAAAAUGAGGCAAACAAUUGAGAAGGCUAACAUGCAAAUUGCCUUGGACCGUGCUGCACAGCAUGAGCUAGAGAAAGACCAAAGUGAUAAGCACCGUGCACUGAAUUUAGACAACACUUGCCACCAGCUUCGUAACACGUCACGUGGUCUUGCUUACCACGAUGGCAUCCAAAGAACUGAUAAUACCGUUUCUGUACCAGAGACCUGGGCUAAAUUCAGCAACGACAACAUCCAGAGAUCACAAAGUGAGCGUGGUGCAUCGAAGAAUCUUAGGAAUGAAAUUGAGGCUAUCCUCAACCAGUGUGCUAACGAUAUGUGGCAAGAAUGGAACGCUAGCAACGUUGGACUCACACAGAGAAUCCAAGAGACCGUUGAUGCAAGAAACAAGCUUCAAACUCAUCUUUCAAAGACUCUUCAAGAGAUUUUCGACAUGGAGAAGAAUAUCGAGCUUCUGAAGAAAUCCAUUCAAGAUAAGGAAGCUCCCAUGCAGGUGGCCCAGACCAGACUUGACACACGUACACACAGACCAAAUGUUGAGUCAUGCAGAGACCCAGUUCAACACAGAUUGGUUUCUGAGGUGGGUGAGAUUUCCGAAACUGUUGACUCUCUACAGUACAAACUUCGUGAGGCCGAAAAUGCCCUGCAACAUCUUCUCCGUACAAAGUCUAGUCUUGAACACGACCUCUCUGUCAAAAAUAACAGUCUGUUCAUUGACCGUGAAAAAUGCAUGGGAAUGCGUAAAACUUUCCCUAUGUCACCACGUGUGGCUUCAUACUAGACAUUUGCUAGAAAUUUUGUAAUCCAAUUUGUUAUCACCACUUUCAAUAUCAAUUAUCAUCUUGGGAAUCACUGAGAAUAUUGAUUAUUAAGGUAUUAUAAACAACCAGGCGUGACAGACUGAUAUCUGAUUCAUUUUAUAUAUCUCUUAAUUGGAGUGGUGAGAACAAACUGGAUUGACUUACAUAAAAGUAUUAUUUCACACAUCGAUGGUGCAAUUAUUGGGGAAUGAAUCGAACAGAGACUGAAGAAAGCGAAGAAGUAGCGCAACGCCAUCUUUUAAAUUAUUUUUAUAUUAAGAAUUGAUAAUGAUGAAAACUAGACACUUUAGAAAUGACAUUUUUCAUAAUAAUCAAUGUUGUCGACAAUUUUUCAUAAUUUCCUUAAUAAAUACUUAAAGUCAUUUAACUGUUAGUGAAAAAGUGAAAACACAACUUAGGAUGGAUUUGUAUAAUGUAUACAUUAUUGUUAAGAAUGAUCAUAGAAUGUAGAAUGAUAGAUUAUUAUAGAUGCCAUAUGCAGCAUACAUCUGCAUGUAUAUUAUUGUAUAUUUUUCAUAUAUGUACAUUUUUGUAUUAUAUUCAUAAAAAAUGAUGUACAUAUUUUUGCAACACAUGCAUGAAGCAUGAAAUGCUAAAGAUUCUCUGAUAUUAUAGAUAAAUGUUGAUCAUUUACGGUACAGUAUAUAUGAAAUUGCUGAUUCCAUCCAUUCAAUUUGUAUUUAUGUAAACAGUUUGAUUUUUGGUUUUUAUCUUGUACAGAUUGAUUUACAGUAUUUAUAUCACAAUAAACUCUUAUAUGCAUCAACAA
rnacentral:misc_RNA from 1 species